CAUAUGCUGCUUGUGGUGUUCCUUCAGUGUGACUAACAUGCAGAGGAGCACCUGAGCCAGGCCUUGCUGCAGAGGAGAGCAGACUCAGGCAGAAAAUGAUUGGAAGACUGCAAAGAGAAAAGAACAAAAGAAAAAAAUCAGAGAGUCAAGAAGCACACACUGCAUUUGUACCAGGGUACCAAUCUUCUGAAGCCUGUCUGUGUUUACUCAAGUCUAAGAAACCCUCAACCUAAGAACUUGUAUGUUCUGAACACUGCAUCGCUGUUGACACAAAGAAGCUACCCUUUGGGAC